AGUGAACGCUGGCGGUAGGCCUAACACAUGCCAGUCGAACGGCAGCACAGUAAGAGCUUGCUCUUACGGGUGGCGAGUGGCGGACGGGUGAGGAAUACAUCGGAAUCUACUUUUUCGUGGGGGAUAACGUAGGGAAACUUACGCUAAUACCGCAUACGACCUACGGGUGAAAGCAGGGGAUCUUCGGACCUUGCGCGAUUGAAUGAGCCGAUGUCGGAUUAGCUAGUUGGCGGGGUAAAGGCCCACCAAGGCGACGAUCCGUAGCUGGUCUGAGAGGAUGAUCAGCCACACUGGAACUGAGACACGGUCCAGACUCCUACGGGAGGAAGCAGUGGGGAAUAUUGGACAAUGGGCGCAAGCCUGAUCCAGCCAUACCGCGUGGGUGAAGAAGGCCUUCGGGUUGUAAAGCCCUUUUGUUGGGAAAGAAAAGCAGCAGGUUAAUACCCCGCUGUUCUGACGGUACCCAAAGAAUAAGCACCGGCUAACUUCGUG
rnacentral:rRNA from 1 species